rnacentral:rRNA from 1 species
UACAGGUGCUGCAUGGCUGUCGUCAGCUCGUGCUGUGAAGUGUUGGGUUAAGUCCCGCAACGAGCGCAACCCCUCGCUAUCUGUUGCCAGCAAGUAAUGUUGGGGACUCAGAUGGAACUGCCGGUGACAAACCGGAGGAAGGUGGGACGACGUCAAGUCAUCAUGGCCCUUAUGUCCUGGGCUACACACGUGCUACAAUGGCCGGUACAGAGCGCAGCGAAGCCGCGAGGCAAAGCGAAUCGCAAAAAGCCGGUCUCAGUACGGAUUGGAGUCUGAAACCCGACUCCAUGAAGCUGGAAUCGCUAGUAAUCGCGCAUCAGCAUGGCGCGGUGAAUACGUUCCCGGGCCUU